UUGGUGUGUGUGUGUCGGUGUGUGUGUGUGUGUGUGUGUGUUGGUGUGUGUGUCGGUGUGUGUGUCACACAGCAGUAAGAGAGCAGUGCACCAUGGGUACAGCGUGGGCACCAGACACUCAAGGACCUGCUAAAGGCAACACUGAAGUCUGGAUAGCAGCCAGUGAGACCGUGGCGAUCACUCGAACCUCCCUCACAAUCAGACAGACAGCCCAGCAAGCACCACUGUUCAAUGCAAAACCAAACACAAAGCUGGUUUAUUCACCUGGAAAAAAAUGUUGAAGCUUUUGCAAUAACGAUACUCCGUGUAUGUACAGACACCCAGCUAAAUGGACUGGAAAAAAAAGGUUACAAACACAGCAUUCUUCCAAGGACAGAUGGAAACAACUGUAAAACACACAGCCAACUCGAUUUAUGCAUUUAUUUAAGUAGCAAUUUAUUCUCUGAUCUCUUUUGCGGAGAGGCUGGUUUCAGCUGUUGGAUUGACCACAUUUCAGUCAGAAUGCCUGUGGUUUCCCCCCUACCCAAACACCCCACCCCAACCGUAAUCCUUCACUUGUUAUCCUUUAUCUCUGCAUAAUCCCCCCCCCCCCCCCCCCCCCAAAAAUACCACAGAAGUUGCCUUAAAAAUGUCACCCUUUGAAAAGUCCCUGCAUUCGCAUCUCCUGUUCCGCACCACACACUGACUAUCCCCUGUUCCAAGCUCACCAUGAGGUCACAAAUUAGCAGAGGACAAUCAGCGGUUUUCCCCCAAGUGUUUUAUAUCCAUCCUUUCACACGCACAACCUUUUGUCUUUUUUGUCAUUUUUUUUUUACACAGCCAAAAGGAAAAAAAAAAAAAAAAAAAAAAAAAAAGAUUAAACAUAAUAAACUCCCAAACCUUUUGUACAGAGAAAAACUAAAUGGAGAAACAUAUUUUUUUUUCUUUUUUUUUUUCUUCUUCUCAUAUUAGUCCAAGUAUUAUCCUCCAUAUCGUCUCUCAGGUUUUGCAAUUUAAUAGGGAAAGGGAGACACACAAACAUACCAAAUACAGUUCUGUGUGUCUGUGUGAGGCUCUGUGUGUAGUAGGCAAAUGUCAAUAAGUCGCUCUUAUUCGCUUGCAUCAUCUCUCCAAUGCCGUCUGGUUUAUAUGUAUUACAAACAAAUAGAUCUUGGCCAUGUCUACGAUAGUGUGAAUAUGCAUGUGUGUUCUGUGUCAUAAGUUAACAAUAUGAGUCUAAACCUGUGUGUGUGUGUGUGUCAGUACAUGUGUAUGAUGUUUGUGUGUGUGUCUGUGAAUGCAUGUGUGUGUGUAUGUGUACGUGUGUAAGGAAAGUCUCUAGGCCAGUCCGAAGCCCUCUGAGCAUUCCUGAAUGGCCAUCAGCAGCAUGUGUCUCAGCUUCUCGUAGCUCUCGUAUGCUGGAAGGUCCAGCUGAUUAAAGCUGCAAACAAACAGACAAGUGGAAGAGUGAGAGGAGGUGAGGUGAGGUGAUGAGGGGACAGACGGUCAUUUUCUAAAAAAAAAAAACUAAAACUUACCAAGUGUGCGCAGAGGGCAGGCGGUCAGUGGAGCGGUCGUCACGGUGAAUUUGGAACUUCUGGAUGCCGUUCAUGCCCUCCAGAGCGGCGAAGCCCUGCAGGGGCACCUUGGACGUGCCCGUGACAAACUGCAGGAAUUUGGCCCGGUCGGCUUGGUCGAAGGAGCGCAGGGCACGCCAGAACCACUGGAUCUG
ensembl:lncRNA